UCCCUCUGAGUUUCCUGCUGCUGCUGUCAGUGGAGUUGUUGUAGGACUGCUGCUCCUGGCUCUCUGUGGACUCUUCAUCUGGAGAAGGAAACACAAUGGGUUCAGACCUGCAAACACUUCAGACUCUUGAUUUCCAUUGGAUGCAGCUUCUAACUGAUCACAGUGACUUCUGCAUCGUGUCAAUACUGUGCAGAUGUGCAGAAAAAGAGAGGAGCUCAGUCAUAAAAUGUUACCAAAGAAGAUCAGAAGAG